UACGUAGGUGACAAGCGUUGUCCGGAUUUACUGGGCGUAAAGAGCGCGCAGGCGGUCGAUCAAGUCGAGUGUGAAAGCCCCCGGCUCAACUGGGGAGGGUCAUUCGAAACUGGUCGACUCGAAGGCAGGAGGGGGUAGUGGAAUUCCCGGUGUAGUGGUGAAAUGCGUAGAUAUCGGGAGGAAGACCAGUGGCGAAGGCGACUACCUGGCCUGUUCUUGACGCUGAGGCGCGGAAGCUAGGGGAGCAAACGGG
rnacentral:rRNA from 1 species